AACGCACAUUGCGCCCUUUGGCAUUCCGAAGGGCAUGCCCGUUCGAGCGUCAUUACACCACUCAAGCCUGGCUUGGUAUUGGGCGACGGGACCUCCCCGCGCCUUCAAUUCAUCGGCUGGACGGUUCGAAUCUCAGCGUUGUGGUUUCAUCAAAUCGCUGGCGAGGACGACCGGACGUCGCCGUUAAACUCUCAUCACAGGUUGACCUCGGAUCGGGUAGGGAUACCCGCUGAACUUAA
rnacentral:misc_RNA from 2 species